UCCCAGUUCGGACUGGAGUCUGNAACCCGACUCCACGAAGUUGGAUUCGCUAGUAAUCGCGCAUCAGCCAUGGCGCGGUGAAUACGUUCCCGGGCCUUGUACACACCGCCCAUCAAGCCAUGGGAGCCGGGGGCGCCUGAAGUCCGGGACCGCGAGGACCGGCCUAGGGCGAAACUGGUAACUGGGGCUAAGUCGUAACAAGGUACC
rnacentral:rRNA from 1 species